rnacentral:rRNA from 1 species
UCAAACGGUAAUAGGACGUUGAAUACACCAGUCCCCUACAUCAGAACAUUGAAGUUAAGCAACGUUCGUGUUGUGUUGGUAACUGGACGGGUGACUGUCUGGGGUUCAUUUUAUUAAUUUGGA